UACGAAGGGGGCUAGCGUUGCUCGGAAUCAUUGGGCGUAAAGCGCGCGUAGGCGGUUACUUAAGUCGAAUGUGAAAGCCCUCGGCUUAACUGAGGAAGUGCAUCCGAAAUGAGUAGCUAGAGUACGAAAGAGGGUCGCGGAAUUCCCGGUGUAGAGGUGAAAUUCGUAGAUAUCGGGAGGAACACCGGUGGCGAAGGCGGCGACCUGGGUCGAGACUGACGCUGAGGCGCGAAAGCGUGGGGAGCAAACAGG
rnacentral:rRNA from 1 species